CUCCCAACACUUUAGGAAGCUGAAGCAGGAAGAUCGCUUAGCCCAGGAGUUUGAGAUCAACCUGAUCAAAAUAAAGAGAACUUGUCGCUUCAAAAAAAAAAAUAAAAAGGUUUUUUUUAAUUAGCCAGGCAUGGUUGUGCACACCUAUAGUCUCAACUGCUUGGGAGGCUGAGGCAGAGAAUGGCUUGAGCCCAGAAGUUCAAGGCUGCAGUGGAGCCAUGAUCACACCACUGCACUGCAGCCUGGGUGACAGAGUGAGACCCUGUCUCAGAA
rnacentral:lncRNA from 10 species